rnacentral:rRNA from 1 species
GUAAGUCAUGUAUCGCAUCUAAUCAUAAGUUUCAACAACGGAUCUCUUGGCUCUCGCAUCGAUGAAGAACGCAGCGAAAUGCGAUAAGUAAUGUGAAUUGCAGAAUUCAGUGAAUCAUCGAAUCUUUGAACGCACCUUGCGCUCCUCGGUAUUCCUUGGAGCAUGCCUGUUUGAGUAUCGUGAAAUCUUCAAAGUAAAUCUUUUGAUCACUCAAUUGAUUCUAUUUUGGUAUUGGAGGUAUUAUUGCAGCUUCACACCUGCUCCUCUUUGUGCAUUAGCUGGAUUCUCAGUGUUAUGCUUGGUUCCACUUGGCGUGAUAAGUUAAUUUAAUCGCUGAGGAUACUCUCUAUAACCAAAGGGGGGGUGACCAAGGUAGAUACAGAUGAACCUGCUUCUAAUAGUCCAUUGAUUUGGACAAAAAUAAACUAUUUAUUAUGAUCUGAUCUCAAAUCAGGUAGGACUACCCGCUGAACUUAAGCAUAUCAAUAAGCGGAGGAAAAGAAACUAACAAGGAUUCCCCUAGUAACGGCGAGUGAAGCGGGAAGAGCUCAAAUUUAA